GUUAUAUGGUCAAGUGAAGAAGCGCAUACGGUGGAUGCCUUGGCAGUCAGAGGCGAUGAAAGACGUGGUAGCCUGCGAAAAGCUUCGGGGAGUCGGCAAACAGACUUUGAUCCGGAGAUCUCUGAAUGGGGGAACCCACCUAGGAUAACCUAGGUAUCUUGUACUGAAUCCAUAGGUGCAAGAGGCGAACCAGGGGAACUGAAACAUCUAAGUACCCUGAGGAAAAGAAAUCAACCGAGAUUCCCUUAGUAGUGGCGAGCGAACGGGGAUUAGCCCUUAAGCUUCAUUGAUUUUAGCGGAACGCUCUGGAAAGUGCGGCCAUAGUGGGUGAUAGCCCCGUACGCGAAAGGAUCUUUGAAGUGAAAUCGAGUAGGACGGAGCACGAGAAACUUUGUCUGAACAUGGGGGGACCAUCCUCCAAGGCUAAAUACUACUGACUGACCGAUAGUGAACCAGUACCGUGAGGGAAAGGCGAAAAGAACCCCGGAGAGGGGAGUGAAAUAGAACCUGAAACCGUAUGCGUACAAGCAGUGGGAGCCUACUUGUUAGGUGACUGCGUACCUUUUGUAUAAUGGGUCAGCGACUUAUAUUCAGUGGCAAGCUUAACCGUAUAGGGUAGGCGUAGCGAAAGCGAGUCUUAAUAGGGCGUUUAGUCGCUGGGUAUAGACCCGAAACCGGGCGAUCUAUCCAUGAGCAGGUUGAAGGUUAGGUAACACUGACUGGAGGACCGAACCCACUCCCGUUGAAAAGGUAGGGGAUGACUUGUGGAUCGGAGUGAAAGGCUAAUCAAGCUCGGAGAUAGCUGGUUCUCCUCGAAAGCUAUUUAGGUAGCGCCUCAUGUAUCACUCUGGGGGGUAGAGCACUGUUUCGGCUAGGGGGUCAUCCCGACUUACCAAACCGAUGCAAACUCCGAAUACCCAGAAGUGCCGAGCAUGGGAGACACACGGCGGGUGCUAACGUCCGUCGUGAAAAGGGAAACAACCCAGACCGCCAGCUAAGGUCCCAAAGUUGUGGUUAAGUGGUAAACGAUGUGGGAAGGCUUAGACAGCUAGGAGGUUGGCUUAGAAGCAGCCACCCUUUAAAGAAAGCGUAAUAGCUCACUAGUCGAGUCGGCCUGCGCGGAAGAUGUAACGGGGCUCAAACCACACACCGAAGCUGCGGGUGUCACGUAAGUGACGCGGUAGAGGAGCGUUCUGUAAGCCUGUGAAGGUGAGUUGAGAAGCUUGCUGGAGGUAUCAGAAGUGCGAAUGCUGACAUGAGUAACGACAAUGGGUGUGAAAAACACCCACGCCGAAAGACCAAGGGUUCCUGCGCAACGUUAAUCGACGCAGGGUUAGUCGGUUCCUAAGGCGAGGCUGAAAAGCGUAGUCGAUGGGAAACAGGUUAAUAUUCCUGUACUUCUGGUUACUGCGAUGGAGGGACGGAGAAGGCUAGGCCAGCUUGGCGUUGGUUGUCCAAGUUUAAGGUGGUAGGCUGAAAUCUUAGGUAAAUCCGGGGUUUCAAGGCCGAGAGCUGAUGACGAGUCGUCUUUUAGAUGACGAAGUGGUUGAUGCCAUGCUUCCAAGAAAAGCUUCUAAGCUUCAGGUAACCAGGAACCGUACCCCAAACCGACACAGGUGGUCGGGUAGAGAAUACCAAGGCGCUUGAGAGAACUCGGGUGAAGGAACUAGGCAAAAUGGCACCGUAACUUCGGGAGAAGGUGCGCCGGCUAGGGUGAAGGAUUUACUCCGUAAGCUCUGGCUGGUCGAAGAUACCAGGCCGCUGCGACUGUUUAUUAAAAACACAGCACUCUGCAAACACGAAAGUGGACGUAUAGGGUGUGACGCCUGCCCGGUGCCGGAAGGUUAAUUGAUGGGGUUAGCGCAAGCGAAGCUCUUGAUCGAAGCCCCGGUAAACGGCGGCCGUAACUAUAACGGUCCUAAGGUAGCGAAAUUCCUUGUCGGGUAAGUUCCGACCUGCACGAAUGGCGUAACGAUGGCGGCGCUGUCUCCACCCGAGACUCAGUGAAAUUGAAAUCGCUGUGAAGAUGCAGUGUAUCCGCGGCUAGACGGAAAGACCCCGUGAACCUUUACUGUAGCUUUGCACUGGACUUUGAGCCUGCUUGUGUAGGAUAGGUGGGAGGCUUUGAAGCGUGGACGCCAGUUCGCGUGGAGCCAUCCUUGAAAUACCACCCUGGCAUGCUUGAGGUUCUAACUCUGGUCCGUAAUCCGGAUCGAGGACAGUGUAUGGUGGGCAGUUUGACUGGGGCGGUCUCCUCCUAAAGAGUAACGGAGGAGUACGAAGGUGCGCUCAGACCGGUCGGAAAUCGGUCGCAGAGUAUAAAGGCAAAAGCGCGCUUGACUGCGAGACAGACACGUCGAGCAGGUACGAAAGUAGGUCUUAGUGAUCCGGUGGUUCUGUAUGGAAGGGCCAUCGCUCAACGGAUAAAAGGUACUCCGGGGAUAACAGGCUGAUACCGCCCAAGAGUUCAUAUCGACGGCGGUGUUUGGCACCUCGAUGUCGGCUCAUCACAUCCUGGGGCUGAAGCCGGUCCCAAGGGUAUGGCUGUUCGCCAUUUAAAGUGGUACGCGAGCUGGGUUUAGAACGUCGUGAGACAGUUCGGUCCCUAUCUGCCGUGGACGUUUGAGAUUUGAGAGGGGCUGCUCCUAGUACGAGAGGACCGGAGUGGACGAACCUCUGGUGUUCCGGUUGUCACGCCAGUGGCAUUGCCGGGUAGCUAUGUUCGGAAAAGAUAACCGCUGAAAGCAUCUAAGCGGGAAACUUGCCUCAAGAUGAGAUCUCACUGGGAACUUGAUUCCCCUGAAGGGCCGUCGAAGACUACGACGUUGAUAGGCUGGGUGUGUAAGCGUUGU
rnacentral:rRNA from 1 species